ACAAGUAAAUUUUUGGCGUCGGUACUAAGUCAAUUGUUACAAUUGUUCAAACAAUUUAAUUAAUUUUCAGUUUAAAACUAUUGUGUGAUGGUGGUGAGCCUGGACUGCAACUAAGGGGAUCCUCGUUAAGAAGACCACAUCUGUCUUAUUCGGGUCCACUUUAAUACAUGCAUUCAUUUAUUAUGACUGCUGGCGGAGCCCUACUGGAGGUUUCACAUAGCACCGCGCAAGAAAAAAUGCUAGCUUGGAUGGAAAAACCACUACAUGAAAGAGACCCGACGGUACGAAGUGUUAGAUAUAUGUAAGGAUGUGAGACGACGGAGUCCAUUCAGCAUGUUACCGGUGGAUAUCCAACGUUUGCAACGACGGAAUAUAAAGAACCGCAUAAUCUAGUUGCAAAGAUACUGCAUCAACAGCUCGCGAAAAAACUAAACCUCUUAUCAGCAUCCAAGGUACUAUAUUAUAAGUAUAAGCCGAAACCAGUUCUUCAAAAUGAGCAACACAGAUUGUAUUGGAAUCGCACUGUACUUACAGACCAACGAGUAAGUAACAAUAAGCCUAAUCUAAUACUAAUCCAUAUAAUUUUUAGGAAGACAAGCCUUAUUGAUGUAGGGCCCUAUUCCUAAUAAUAACAACCUAAGAGCGAAACAUAAUAAAAAUAAUGAAAGUACAUGGAUCUAGCACACCAGAUACAAAGACAAUGGGAAAUGAAAGAAGUGUGGACCAUUCCCAUAAUUGUGUAAACAACAGGAGUAUUACCAAAAAGUCUGAUCGAAAACAUAAAACUGCUUAACCUUAAGAAAAGCAUCUAUAAGCUAAUGCAGAAGUCGACC